rnacentral:rRNA from 1 species
AGCUAUAUGAAUUAAUAUAUAGUUAUUUCUGCUCAAUGAUUUAAAUAGCCGCAGUACUCUGACUGUGCAAAGGUAGCAUAAUCAGUUGGCUUUUAAUUUAAGUCUGGCAUGAAUGAAAAUAUGGGUAGUAACUGUCUUAACACAUUUAUUUGAAAUUAUUAAACAAGUGCAAAUACUUGUAGUAAAACAACAGACGAGAAGACCCUAGAAACUUGCGUUCAGUUUUGUUGGGGCGACAGAGUUACAUUUAACUAACUUUAUAAUACAUGGCAUGAGGUUGUAAGAAUAAGUUACUCUAGGGAUAACAGCAUAAUUUUACUAGUUUGUGACCUCGAUGUUGGACUAGGUACUAUACCCUUAAGACAGGGGUAUAUCAUGCUCUGUUCGAGCAAAUUUACCUACAU